UGAGCAAUCUGCCCCUCACAUCGGGAUAACUCUCGGAAACGGGAGCUAAUACCGGAUACGACCACUUCAGGCAUCUGAUGGUGGUGGAAAGUUCCGGCGGUGGAGGAUGAGCUCGCGGCCUAUCAGCUUGUUGGUGGGGUAAUGGCCCACCAAGGCUUCGACGGGUAGCCGGCCUGAGAGGGUGACCGGCCACACUGGGACUGAGACACGGCCCAGAUUCCUACGGGAG
rnacentral:rRNA from 1 species